CGAGAUCAAUCACAAACCGCUGCCCCUUUAACACGAUCGCUUACAAACCAUCCUGCUGUCUGUUCCACAGGAAACAGGGGUAGAACCACAGCUGGCGAAUUUCCAGGCACCUGGCCAAGAAGCUGGAAUCGAGUGGUGGAUCUGGAAAAGAUGCCCGAUGCGAGAAAAAGCGAAAGAGAAAGAAAGAAAAAGAAAGAAAAAAGGGAAGAAAGGCACGAAAUCUGGCGGAAGAAAGACGUUCGAGAGAAAUUGAGGAAGGGGUUGGCUAGAGUGAAGCCUCCAACGCUCCAAAGGACAACCUGUCAAUAAUCUAGUCGAGGCAACUACUCCCCGUGGAGUGUGGAUAGAAAUCGUUGUAGUCCUUGAACACUGUGCAAGAUUACGACAAGAUUUAUGGCAAGAUUGAUAAAUUCGUAGUCGAAAAUUAGUAGAGACUGAAAGUUUCGAAUUUCUUGAAAUGAAAUGUUUGACUCAGAAUGACGAUCGAAGAAUUGUAAAAACUGUCGUAAAAUAAUUAAGUUCUAAGAAAGAUUUUUAGCAUUGUGUAAAGAUUUAGCAUGGCUGUCGCAGGUAA